UGCGUAGUCCGCACGAGCGCACCCUUAUCCUUUGUUGCCAGCGCGUGAUGGSGGGAACUCAAAGGAGACUGCCGGUGAUAAACCGGAGGAAGGUGGGGAUGACGUCAAGUCAUCAUGGCCCUUACGAGUAGGGCUACACACGUGCUACAAUGGCGUAUACAAAGGGAAGCGACCCUGCGAAAGCAAGCGGAACUCAUAAAGUACGUCGUAGUCCGGAUUGGAGUCUGCAACUCGACUCCAUGAAGUCGGAAUCGCUAGUAAUCGUAGAUCAAAAUGCUACGGUGAAUACGUUCCCGGGCCUUGUACACACCGCCCGU
rnacentral:rRNA from 1 species